GCAAGCGUUAUCCGGGUUCACUGGGGUUAAAGGGUGUGUAGGUGGCUUGGUAAGUCAGUGGUGAAAUCUCCGGGCUUAACCCGGAAACUGCCAUUGAUACUAUCAGUCUUGAAUACCGUGGAGGUCAGUAGAAUAUGUCAUGUAGCGGUGAAAUGCUUAGAUAUGACAUAGAAUACCAAUUGCGAAGGCAGCUGGCUACACGAAUAUUGACACUCAGGCACGAAAGCGUGGGGAUCAAACAGG
rnacentral:rRNA from 1 species